rnacentral:rRNA from 1 species
GAUGAACGCUGGCGGCGUGCUUAACACAUGCAAGUCGAACGAUGAAGCCCAGCUUGCUGGGUGGAUUAGUGGCGAACGGGUGAGUAACACGUGAGUAACCUGCCCUUAACUCUGGGAUAAGCCUGGGAAACUGGGUCUAAUACCGGAUAGGAGCGUCCACCGCAUGGUGGGUGUUGGAAAGAUUUAUCGGUUUUGGAUGGACUCGCGGCCUAUCAGCUUGUUGGUGAGGUAAUGGCUCACCAAGGCGACGACGGGUAGCCGGCCUGAGAGGGUGACCGGCCACACGGGACUGAGACACGGCCCAGACUCCUACGGGAGGCAGCAGUGGGGAAUAUUGCACAAUGGGCGCAAGCCUGAUGCAGCGACGCCGCGUGAGGGAUGACGGCCUUCGGGUUGUAAACCUCUUUCAGUAGGGAAGAAGCGAAAGUGACGGUACCUGCAGAAGAAGCACCGGCUAACUACGUG